AUUGAACGCUGGCGGCAGGCCUAACACAUGCAAGUCGAGCGGAGCGGCGGACGGGGGAGUAAGGCCUAGGAAUCUGCCUGGGAGUGGGGGAUAGCGUCCGGAAACGGGCGCUAAUACCGCAUACUAUCAGAUGAGCCUAGGUCGGAUUAGCUAGUUGGUGGGGUAAAGGCCUACCAAGGCGACGAUCCCUAACUGGUCUGAGAGGAUGAUCAGUCACACUGGAACUGAGACACGGUCCAGACUCCUACGGGAGGCAGCAGUGGGGAAUAUUGGACAAUGGGCGCAAGCCUGAUCCAGCCAUGCCGCGUGUGUGAAGAAGGUCUUCGGAUUGUAAAGCACUUUCAGCUGGGAGGCGUUACCCACAGAAUAAGCACCGGCUAACUUCGUGCCAGCAGCCGCGGUAAUUC
rnacentral:rRNA from 1 species